ACCAAUUUAUACCUAUUCAGACUUUUUCUUUAUUAAAAAAAAACCCACAAUCUCAUCAGCCGCCAUCAUCACCUCUAGAAUUUUUCUGAUCACUUGUGCUACUCCGCCACUACGCCACCUCGGGGUACCGACUACGUUUUCUAAGUGUCCGAUUGGGUUCAGACCCACCAUUCAGCAACCGUCAUACUCCGCGACCAUCUCGUGUGAUUCUCAUUCCGUUCGACUCAUUCCGACUCACGCCCAGUAGCCGAACGCAAACCGUGAAUCACCGUUGCCGUGCAUCCCAGCUGUGUUCCGUUUGUCUACCGCUGUUGCGACUCUAGUUUCACCCUCAUUGCUAUUUCUGUUCAGACUCCGCAACCAUUUACCGCCACGGACCUGUUCACUGUCGUCUCCUCGAGACUCGUUUCUGAUUAAUCGCAUCCAACGACUCCCUGUCACCUGUUUAAUUCGACUUAUUAUUCAGGUUUCUAAUUUUGAGACGACUUAAUUUUGUCUUGGUUUUCUCGCUAAAUCUAAGGUAAUUUGGGAAACGUGGGGAAAAAGUGAAGAGUGUCGUGAAGAUAAAGAUUUAUUUUU